AUUCUAUCUUUUUUGGAUUCCCCAUUUGAAAAUUCAAGUCAUUCUCAAUUUGGUGAAGAUUUUCAGAUAUUAGAUCAAAGUUUGGUUCCGCUGAAAUCUUCCAAUGAUCCUUGUGUCAAAAAAUUUUUUUUGGAUACACCGAGAAAAGGGAAUAGAAAAUGUACUUUGUGUAACAAAACCUAUCGCAUAAGUACAUCAUCAAGAAAUCAUACAUUAUGCCAAAUUUAGACGGAGAAGAAAUCGAAGAAUAUUUAACAGAUCCGGUUGCUCAAACCUCUGUUGAUAUUAUAGAUUGGUGGUCUCGAAACGCUAAUCGUUUUCCAAAGCUGUCGACAAUGGCCAAGGAUUACUUAUGCGAACAAACUACGUCCGUAGCAAGCGAACGUAUUUUUUCUCGAGCCAGCGCAACCAUUACUAAGAAGAGGAAUAGGAUGUCAGCCUCAACGUUAAAACAAUGCCUAUGUAUAAAUUCAUGGGAUGUUAAUGUUUUAAAUUUGCGUGACGAAUUUUUUGUAUAA